UGGGCAUGAAACACGAGGUUUAGUUACUAAGAACUUUAACCGUAAAAAACUGAAACAUUAAUGAAAUGGCAACUUUAAUAAAUUUAUUCUCAUCAUUGUACACUUUCUUUUCGGAUGGGUCAGCUUGUCCGAAUCUGGAGUGGAAAGUGGAAUAAAAGUACCGCCGGGGUUGGCAAUUCGAAGGGGAUCCAUCGGAAGUGGAGCAGUAUAUAUGUGACACCCGCCACUUUCAAAAUAUAAUAAAUUGAUAAAAGCGGAAAUAAAAUAAUAAUACAACUCAAAUAAUAAUAAUCUUCAUAUAAUAUAAAAGUCAAUACGGUAACAAAAGGCCUAAAAGCCCAACAUCGAUAACAUCCGAAAUAUAAAAUACGAUAUAAACCGAAAGUCUGAAAUAGGAAUAACAUAGACGAUAAAAGUCCAAAGGCCUAAAGGCCCGAUAAAGAUAAAAGCGGUAAAAGUGAUAGAAGCCCAAAAGCCCAAUAGCACCGGUCCGAUAAUCACUCCUGCUCAUCGGUCUCACCUAAAAGGGGGAAAGAAUGAGGGGUGAGCGACAGGGGAAUCGCUCAGCGAGGUAUGGGAUGCUACCCCGAAGUCCAUGGACCCGGACAUAGCACUCCGAAUAAAUAUAAUUUAAUUCUAAUGCAUGUCAAACACAGUACCUAAAGUACUCAAGCAACAAACAAUGGUCCUAGCGAGGUGCGCACUCGCCGCCCA
rnacentral:lncRNA from 1 species